rnacentral:rRNA from 1 species
UAAUACGUAGGUGGCAAGCGUUGUCCGGAUUUACUGGGCGUAAAGGGCGUGCAGGCGGUUUGUUAAGUCUAGGGUGAAAGCUCCCGGCUCAACUGGGAGAGGUCCUUGGAUACUGGCAGACUUGAGGAGGGUAGAGGAGAGUGGAAUUCCCGGUGUAGUGGUGAUAUGCGUAGAUAUCGGGAGGAACACCAGUGGCGAAGGCGGCUCUCUGGGCCCUACCUGACGCUGAGACGCGAAAGCGUGGGGAGCGAACCGGAUUAGAUACCCGGGUAGUCCACGCCGUAAACUAUGGACACUAGGUGUGGGGGGUAUCGACCCCCUCCGUGCCGAAGCUAACGCAAUAAGUGUCCCGCCUGGGGAGUACGGCCGCAAGGCUA